rnacentral:snoRNA from 1 species
AAGCAGUCAGCCCUGGAGCAGUUAACAUCUGCUGCUAAAGUUUCUACUAUAGAUGCAAGAAAAAGAAGUCCUCGCACUUUCUGUCUGUCUGAUUUGGGCAGCCAAGAUUGAAUGGGGGAAUACAGGA